rnacentral:rRNA from 1 species
CAGCGCCACAAGUGGUGAUCAUAUUAUUGGGUCUAAAGCGUCCGUAGCCGGUUUGGUAAAUCUCUUGUGAAAUUGUUGGGCUUAACCCAACAACGUGCAGGAGAAACUGCCAGACUAGGAACCGGGAGAAGUUAGGAGAAUGCUGGGGGGAGCGGUAAAAUGCUAUAAUCCUCAGUGGACUACCAGUGGCGAAGGCGCCUAACUAGAACGGGUUCGACGGUGAGGGACGAAAGCUAGGGGAGCAAUCCGGAUUAGAGACCCGAGUAGUCC